GUAUAGCAUAAUCUUUGGAUUUGAGUAAGAGGGGACUCGUCUAAAAGUACCUGUGAAAUUCUGCCAUCAUCUGGUAAUGAGUGCGAGAAAAUACCCCUUACUAGGUGGCGCUGCUUGACAAGAUCUCUCCGGCUUCUCCAGUUCGGUCCAGUUUUUGCUGCUUGAGGUCUGCAGUGAGUUCGUCUAAACGAAUGUCUUCUUGUUAAUGAAAUGCUGCAUUCCGUGUUGUCACGACGCUCGCCUUCUGAAGCUCCCCAAUGAUUUAUCUUCACGACUCCUGUUAAGGCAGGUAGAAGCUCAACCUGUCAUACAGACGAUAUAAACGCAAACAUUAUACCACACGUGUAGCAUGUAGACUUUCUUACACUUCUGUGGAACGAAAAAUAAGUAUUUUGAAGAAUGUUUAGAACCAAACAGGUUUGGUUACCGUGGACGUCCAUGGCAUUGGUUAAAACCCCUCAGCCAUUUCUCAAAAUGUGUUUUGUGUUCCACAAAAGAAAGCAAGCCGUAUGGCAAAAUGUUUGUAUUAUUUAACCCCAAAUGCUUCUAAAUCGGAUGUUGGUAGCCCAUUGUACAAUGGCUUUCAGUGAAAUACAAAACAGCAAAGGGUUAGUGGUCAUCAGGAUUAACGAUAAUUAAAGGUGUCCUAUAACUGAAUAAUAUUUUUUAUGGUUGUUUCUUUUUUUUUUUGUAAUAUUCUGCUCCAGUGGUUUUUAAUAUAGCAACAAUACAUUAAUAGGAAGAAUGACUCAAUGUUGAAUGAAGCUUUAAGAACCAUAAUGGCUGUUAUAUAAUGAAACAUGUCUUUAUGUUUGUGCAGUGGCCUAGUUUUCAGUUGACUGUACUGUACUUAAUAACUUUGCUAUACAUGAAGGAACUACAUGCAGUGAGCUUGUUUCAUAAUGUCAGAACCACUUGACAUUUGAGCCUUUGUCCAAAUAAAGUGUACUAUCUUGUUGCCUUUAAGUCAGACCAAAAGCA